UUGAUAAAUUUAAUAUAGCAUUUUAUAUUGCAGUUAAGAACUAAUUAACCUUUUUCACAUUAUAUAGGUAAAAAGUUAUAAAACUUACCUGAACUAUAUAUAGAUCAUUUUGAAUUAACUACGUAACCUUUUAUAGCUUCAAUUUUACUAUCCAAUCUUUCAAUUCGUUUAAUUUGAUUUAGUUAACAGCAUUUCGAUUUCAAAAUUUAAACUAAUCACUUACUUUAAUAAAUUUAUAGUUGUAAAAAUUAUAUGAAAUAUAUUAACUAAAUCUACGAAGAUAAAAACAUAUCCAAGUUUUAAAGUCAAAAUAGUAGUCAUUGACUAACUCAAAUCAAAUAAAUUAAAAAAUUUUAAAAUAAAAUUAAAAUUUUGCAUGG
rnacentral:lncRNA from 1 species